CGGGGAGUAGCGCAGCUUGGUAGCGCACCUGAAUGGGGUUCAGGGGGUCGCAGGUUCAAAUCCUGUCUCCCCGACCA
rnacentral:tRNA from 1 species